rnacentral:rRNA from 1 species
GUUUUUUGCUUCGGAUUUGUGCGUGCCACUGAGACUAGUCAAUCGGCUACCGGCGCGGCUGCGCUCCAAAACAAACACUCGACAGAGGAAGGGAAGGAGAGUCUAGCAGCCGGAAAAAAUGGUGUCCCGCGCUGGGUUCGCCUCCCUCCUCGGCGCCUCCUUCCUCCUGCUCCUGCGCAGCGCCGAGCCGCUCGGGUUCAACCACCGCCCGACGACCGCCGGCGACGAGCUCUCGGCCGCCCCGAGCAGAUACCUGACGCGGGAGGAGCGCUGGAUGAGCCAGCGCCUCGACCACUUCUCCCCCACCGACCACCGCCAAUUCAAGCAGCGCUACUUCGAGUUCCUGGACUACCACGACGACCCUAACGGCCCGGUGUUCCUGCGCAUCUGCGGCGAGUCCUCCUGCGACGGCCUCCCCAACGACUACCUGGCCGUCAUCGCCAAGAAGUUCGGCGCGGCGGUGGUGACGCCGGAGCACCGGUACUACGGCAAGAGCUCCCCGUUCGACAGCCUCACCACCGACAACCUCAGGUUCCUCUCGUCCAAGCAGGCGCUCUUCGACCUCGCCGUCUUCCGCCAGUAUUACCAGGAAAAACUGAAUUCUCAGUACAACCGGAGCGCGGGGUUCGACAAUCCGUGGUUCGUCUUCGGGGUCUCCUACUCCGGGGCUCUCAGCGCAUGGUUCAGGCUCAAGUUCCCUCACCUGACAUGCGGAAGCCUCGCCAGCUCCGGGGUGGUUCUUGCUGUGUACAACUUCACUGAUUUCGACAAGCAGGUCGGAGAGUCGGCUGGCCCUCAGUGCAAAGCCGCCCUUCAGGAAAUAACUAGACUUGUCGACGAACAACUUCGGUCAGAUAGCCACUCGGUGAAGGCCUUGUUCGGAGCAGAUUCGUUGAAAAAUGACGGCGACUUCCUCUUUCUACUGGCAGAUGCAGCAGCCACAACAUUCCAGUAUGGGAAUCCUGAUGCCUUGUGCUCUCCUCUAGCAAAUGCGAAGAAAAAGGGGGAAAGUUUGGUGGAAACAUAUGCUCAUUUUGUGAAAGAUUACUUCAUUAAAAAAUUGGGGACUACAGUAUCUUCUUAUGAUCAAGAGUAUUUGAAGGAAACAACUCCCGAUGAUUCUAUUAUGUUUAAAUGAUGGCUCUACUUGUUUUCUUUUGGUGUGGAUUGGAAACUGUACUGACAUUGAAGAUCAUCGAGUGAAACACCAUGGCAUUUCUUGUUUGUUACUGACAGACAUGGCUGAAAUAUUUACUGUUCAUUUACCUUUUCUGUUAUUUUUUAGGUUCUAGACUUUGGUGGUUCCAAGUUUGCAGUGAAGUUGCCUAUUUUCAAGUCGCACCCAAAAAUGACAGUGUUCGUUCUGCGCAGGUCAAUACAAGGUACAAUUUGGACCUGUGUAAAAAUGUUUAUGGAGAAGGAGUUUAUCCUGAUGUGUUCAUGACAAACUUAUAUUAUGGAGGCACAAGUAUUGCCGCUUCUAAAAUUGUGUUUACAAAUGGCUCUCAAGAUCCAUGGCGUCAUGCCUCCAAACAGAAGUCAUCGGAAGACAUGCCAUCAUACAUAAUCAAAUGUAGCAACUGCGGACAUGGCACUGAUUUGAGAGGAUGUCCCCAGCUUCCUUUCAGGAUUGAAGGUGACUCUUCAAACUGCACGUCCCCAGAAGCUGUGAACACAGUAAGGAAGCAGAUCGUCAAGCACAUCGACCUGUGGCUAUCACAAUGCCAUGAACCAACAAGGGCGUGGUGAGGUGACGAUGACUCGUUCCUGUUUAGGAGGGGUAAAGGAAGCAGUAUGUAGAGGAAAGACCGAUUGCAAGUUUGCGACAUCGUUAUGCUGCAGAUCGAGUGAACCAUAUGCGGAUUGAGCAGCCAGUCCCCGGCCUGGAUGCGAUUGCGCGCAGGUCAUUUAUGACUCUCGGACAGUCAGAUGCAAUGCGUGCUUUUGAGACGGCCAGGUCCUCCGCAAGAGCUAAAGCUUCUCUCCACGCACACGCCUCCAGAGUAGCAGGUUCUGUCACACCUUGGAAUGCUACCGCGGACGCUCCCAGGAAUACGCCACGAUCACUUCGACAUACGACACCAACAGCAUUCGCUUGGGUAGUUCCUGUAUCUCCUGCAAGUUUUUUUUUUUAGUCUAAACACACUCGCUUUAUUGAUUAGUAAUGUUCAUAGGGAUACAAUUCAGGUCAUGGCGCCCCUGGUCCAGACAGCUUAACAAGGCUAUGGGCCUCUUGAUUCGAUACUCUCCCUUUAAAGAUGAAGACACAACUCUGAAAUUGAGUAGUAGUCGCUCUAAUCUCCUUCACAAUGCUCGCAUUCAUUCCUCCAUUGCCAAGAUUUAUGUCUUGAACAGCGUUUUUGCAGUCUGAAGCAAUCUCCACUGCAAGUAACGGCUAGUGAACAAGUAUACGGCUCAUGGGCUGAAGUUACCAAAAACUCAUGGGUUGAUAGGCCUCUCGAAAACAAAAACAAAAAGAGGAAAACACUGAG